ensembl:lncRNA
CUCCCCUCCUCCUUUCUUCUGAAUGCAAACUAAAACUCUCCAGUGACAGGCAGGCUUGCAGGCUUGGCCUAGCUGCGCACGCAGACACACACACACACACACACACACACACACACACACACACACUCACGCGCACUCACACUCACACUCGCUUACUCGCACGCCAGCAGCUCGGCUAGUUGCUACUGCACUGGUGGAGUUAAGAGACAGGAAAAGGCUCAGGCUGAGUUGGGGGCAGGGAGAGAAAGAGGGAGAGUAAGAUCCGAAGGAGCAGUGUCCUAGCAAAAUGGCAGUAGAGAGGUGAGCCCUUUGGAAAGCCAGCAGUGGCCACACACACGUGUGCACACAUACAGACUCAGAGGCAAUCUGAGCUCAGAAUGAGUGGAAUAAAUGACCCAGAAGGGAAAAAAGCCAAGGAUCUAGUCGUCGUUCACCAUGUUACAGAGCAUAAAUCCAAGCCACUGAUUUAAAAAAAGAAAAAGAAAGAAAGAAACGUGGACAUUUGGGAGUCAACCUAACUGGAAAAAAAUGGAAGUCCAGACACUGAACCAUGAAGACGAGGAGUGCAUGAGAUGGCAGAGGAAGGCACAAACUGUGAGCAGGGGACCCACAGAGGACGCAAGAAUCUUGAAGCUUUGUAGACAGCACGGACCCAGGACAGCUGGUGGAGAGUGGGAAGGGGAUUACAACAACUCGGAGCUCUUGCAAGCCUUGCUGUCUCACAGAGCUAGGCCUCCAUGGCUGUCCUGGUGAACCACGGCUCAGCCUGAGCUCUGUUUUUGCGUGAAGGUCACUUGGACCCCUUCUCCAGAAUCUUCUUCUCCAAGGUGGAAGUUGUGUGGACACAAAUGACUACUCUCCUGACAGGCACACAGUAAGAAAUAAAGAAUGACUUUUCUUUCACAGGCUUCAACCUCACUGCAUGGCUUGUCACUGGCUGAAACAAUGACAAAGACAUUGUGCCCUGCUCCUUCUCCCCUUAGCUUGGUCCCUACUACUAGUUCUGGGAGCUGUGUACUUGGAUUCCAAUUUACAACCACGAUAGUGAGAGGAAUAAUGAUUACCUUCAUGUUUCUCAACAUUUGCCCAAGCAUUUAUAUCAUGAAGUAAUUUUCAUUAAGACGAACCAUUUUCACUUACGGAUAGAUUUCUUUGUUUUGUUUGAGACGCUAUCUUACUAUGUAGCUCUAGUUAGGCUGUAACUCAC